rnacentral:rRNA from 1 species
AGUUUGAUCAUGGCUCAGGAUGAACGCUAGCGGCAGGCUUAAUACAUGCAAGUCGAGGGGCAGCAUGAGUAGCAAUACUUGAUGGCGACCGGCAAACGGGUGCGGAACACGUACACAACCUUCCUUUAAGUGGGGAAUAGCCCAGAGAAAUUUGGAUUAAUACCCCGUAACAUAUAGAUGUGGCAUCACAAUUAUAUUAUAGGUUUACCGCUUAAAGAUGGGUGUGCGGCUGAUUAGAUAGUUGGCGGGGUAAUGGCCCACCAAGUCUACGAUCAGUAGCUGGUCUGAGAGGAUGAUCAGCCACACUGGAACUGAGACACGGUCCAGACUCCUACGGGAGGCAGCAGUAGGGAAUAUUGGACAAUGGGCGCAAGCCUGAUCCAGCCAUGCCGCGUGAGUGAAGAAGGCCCUCGGGUUGUAAAGCUCUUUUGUCCGGAAAGAAAAGCGCCGGGUUAAUACCCUGGUGUCCUGACGGUACCGGAAGAAUAAGCACCGGCUAACUUCGUG